UACGGAGGGUGCAAGCGUUAUCCGGAUUCACUGGGUUUAAAGGGUGCGUAGGUGGGUUGGUAAGUCAGUGGUGAAAUCUCCGAGCUUAACUUGGAAACUGCCGUUGAUACUAUCAAUCUUGAAUAUCGCGUAGGUAAGCGGAAUAUGUCAUGUAGCGGUGAAAUGCUUAGAUAUGACAUAGAACACCAAUUGCGAAGGCAGCUUACUUCACGAUCAUUGACACUGAGGCACGAAAGCGUGGGGAGCGAACAGG
rnacentral:rRNA from 1 species